AGUGAACGCUGGCGGUAGGCCUAACACAUGCAAGUCGAACGGCAGCACAGUAAGAGCUUGCUCUUACGGGUGGCGAGUGGCGGACGGGUGAGGAAUACAUCGGAAUCUACUUUUUCGUGGGGGAUAACGUAGGGAAACUUACGCUAAUACCGAAUACGACCUACGGGUGAAAGCAGGGGAUCUUCGGACCUUGCGCGAUUGAAUGAGCCGAUGUCGGAUUAGCUAGUUGGCGGGGUAAAGGCCCACCAAGGCGACGAUCCGUAGCUGGUCUGAGAGGAUGAUCAGCCACACUGGAACUGAGACACGGUCCAGACUCCUACGGGAGGCAGCAGUGGGGAAUAUUGGACAAUGGGCGCAAGCCUGAUCCAGCCAUACCGCGUGGGUGAAGAAGGCCUUCGGGUUGUAAAGCCCUUUUGUUGGGAAAGAAAAGCAGCAGGUUAAUACCCCGCUGUUCUGACGGUACCCAAAGAAUAAGCACCGGCUAACUUCGU
rnacentral:rRNA from 1 species